rnacentral:siRNA from 1 species
AUCCAAACCAUUGCAAGAUUGCA